UAGCUCAACUGGAGUAGAGCAUGGCAUUACCACGGCCAGGGUUACGGGUUCAAUUCCCCGUC
rnacentral:tRNA from 1 species